UGGUCAGACACUAGCACAGGAGGAGGGGGAUGGUCAGACACUAUUACAGGAGGAGGGGAGGGGGGGUGGUCAGACACUAGCACAGGAGGAGGGUGGUGGUCAGACACUAGCACAGGAGGGGGGUGGUCAGACACUAGCACAGGAGGAGGGUGGUGGUCAGACACUAGCACAGGAGGAGGGGGGUGGUCAGACACUAGCACAGGAGGAGGGGGGUGGUCAGACACUAGCACAGGAGGAGGGUAGUGGUCACACACUAGCACAGGAGGGUAGGGGAUGGUCAGACACUAGCACAGGAGGAGGGUAGUGGUCACACACUAGCACAGGAGGGUAGGGGAUGGUCAGACACUAGCACAGGAGGAGGGGGAUGGUCAGACACUAGCACAGGAGGAGGGUAGUGGUCACACACUAGCACAGGAGGGUAGGGGAUGGUCAGACACUAGCACAGGAGGAGGGUAGUGGUCACACACUAGCACAGGAGGGUAGUGAUCACACAGGAAAGUAGUGGUCACACACUAGCAGAGGAAGAGGGUACGGGUCACACAGUAGCAGAGGAGAUGUCUUCAGAGUACAUUUUAUAACCGCUGGCUAAGGAAAUAAACUCUA